ACGAAGGGCGGGCAAGCGGGCGGGGUAAACGGGGGGGGGGAAGGGUGAAUGGGAAUUGCUGGGCGUGAAGGGAACGUAGGCGGGUUUCUAAGGCGGAUGUGAAAUCCCCGGGCUGAACCGGGGAACUGCACCUGAUACUGGAAGACUAGAAUGUGGGAGAGGAGGGUGGAAUUUCCGGGGUAGCGGUGAAAUGCAUAGAGAUCGGAAGGAACACCAGUGGCGAAGGCGGCUCUCUGGACCAACAUUGACGCUGAGGUGCGAAAGCGUGGGUAGCAAACAGGAUUAGAUACCCCAGUAGUC
rnacentral:rRNA from 1 species